AACGAACGCUGGCGGCGCGCCUAAUACAUGCAAGUCGAGCGAGAAGGUGUAGCAAUACACUUGUAAAGCGGCGAACGGGUGAGGAAUACAUGGGUAAUCUACCAUCGAGUGGGGAAUAACCAACCGAAGGGUUGGCUAAUACCGCGUACGCCUCCGAGUCUUCGGGUUCGGAGGGAAAGCUGCACUGUGAGUGUAGCGCUCUUUGAUGAGCUCAUGUCCUAUCAGCUUGUUGGUAGGGUAACGGCCUACCAAGGCUUUGACGGGUAGCUGGUCUGAGAGGACGAUCAGCCACACUGGCACUGCGACACGGGCCAGACUCCUACGGGAGGCAGCAGUAAGGAAUAUUGCGCAAUGGGCGAAAGCCUGACGCAGCGACGCCGCGUGGGGAUGAAGGUCUUCGGAUUGUAAACCCCUUCGGGAGGGAGAUGGAGCGAGCAAUCGUUCGGACGGUACCUCCAGAAGCAGCCACGGCCAACUUCGUGCCAGC
rnacentral:rRNA from 1 species